GAAGAGCCUGUGAUGGGAAGCCGAGCCGGUCUGGAGGCUGGGACGUAAAGGAUAAGAAGGGCAGGGGCCCCCAACCCGGCAGGGGCCCCCAACCCCCGGGCCAUGGACUGGUACUGGUCCUUGGCCUGUUGGGAACCAGGCUGCACAGCAGGAGGUGAGUGGCGGGUGAACUGAGCAAAGCUUCAUCUGUAUUUACAGCCACUCGCCAUCGCUUGCAUUACCGUCUGAGCUCCACCUCCUGUCAGCAUUAUGCAGAAUCCUUGUCACCCACCAAACCCAG